UCCGAGGAAAGUUUGAGGAGAAAGGCUUGCCGUGUCCGCCCUACCUGAUCUGAAUUUGCUCCGAAUCAGCAUUGAAUGCUCAGACCCCAGGAGAGUCAUGGUGAUGUGGAGCUGCCCGGAGGUGGUGCUGGUGGUGGGCUUCACUCUGAGCCACUCGCUCUCGACUAUCAACAGGCUCCGGCUUAACUCUUUCCACCGGACGCAGUUGGAGAGACCACGGCGGCGAAGAAGAGGCAGCCCCAGGACGAGCAGGAGGCGGCUUUGAGCACUCGCAUCGGAAAAAGCAGCCCUGGCCUGAACAUCGGGAGACUUUUCGGAGGCUCGGCCUUUGCUUUCAGGCAGGCAAGGCGAGCUUAGGCCCUUCAGGUGUUUUGGCCUCCAACUCCCACAAUUCCUAACAGCCUACCGGCCGGGUUGCUAUGAGUUUUCCGGGCUGUACGGCGCUCCAUGCAGUCAUGCUGGCCACAUGACCUUGGAGGUGUCUAAGGACAACGCCGGCUCUUCGGCUUAGAAAUGGAGAUGAGCACCAAACCCCAGAGUCAGACAUGACUGGACUUAACGUCAGGGGAAGCCUUUACCUUUACCUAUGGCCAUGUUCCAGAAGCAUUCUCUCCAGACGUUUCGCCUGCAUCUAUGGCAGGCAUCCUCAGGGGUUGUGAGGUCUGUUGGAAACUAGAGAACAGGAGAAUUCCAGACAGAAAACAAUCAGGGCCAGCCAACACCGCCUAACAAAGGAUUCCCCCAGGCAGUAAGCAGCCAGUCCUUGAAGCUUCAAGGCCAUUAAUUGCUAACCAAGGUGGCCAAUUGCUACAUUAACACUUAUACAAAAACCUUUAUUUAUAUACCGCUCCAUUUCCUCAAGAGGACCCAGGACGGUUUCCAACAAGUGUACAAAAACAGUCAACUGUCAGAAACAUCAUACAACAACUUAAACAUAGUAAACAAAUAAAACAACAUCAUCAGAACAAAACCAAAACAAUUAUAUUGAAAUGGACAUAGUUAUAAAUCCAAUCAGAUAUAAUCCAUCAGGAAUCAAGUACCCGUGAUCAGGGCUUCGAGGUAGAUAUUUCAAACAGACAAGAGUACUUUCUCUCACCCUGGACGUUCCACAGAUACAGUAGAGUCUCACUUAUCCAACAUAAAUGGGCUGGCAGAACGUUGGAUAAGUGAAAAUGUUGGAUAAUGGGGAGGGAUUAAGGAAAAGCCUAUUAAAAGUCAAAUUACAUUAUGAUUUUACAAAUUAAGCACCAAAAACAUCAUGCUUUACAACAAAUCGACAGAAAAAGCAGUUCAAUACACAGUAACGUUAUGUAGUAAUUACUGUAUUUAUGAAUUCAGCACCAAAACAUCGCAAUAUAUUGAAAACAUAGACUAAAAAAAAAUUGUCUACUAACAAAUUAACUACAAAUAAAGAUAGAAUUGCAUAAAAUAAACGUAUAGUAGCAACAUUGUCGGGAAUUAAAUCCAUAAAAAGUUCAAUCCUUGCUGCCUAAAGAAACAGCUGUGGAUCAGGGUGGGAGGCAAACUGUGUUGGAAUAGAAUGUUGGAUAAGCAAAUGUUGGAUAAGUGAGAAUCUAUUGUAUAUAAACCCAUCUUGCCUAGUUUCCAACAGACCUCACAACCUCUGAGGAUGCCUGCCAUAGAUGCAGAAGAGAAUGCUUCUGAAACAUGGUCAUACAGGCCGGAAAACUCACAGCAACCCAGUGAUUCCAGCCAUGAAAGCCUUCAACAGCCUACUGGCUGUUAGGAAUUAUGGGCGUUGGAGUCAAAAACACCUAGAUGGCCGAAGUUUGCCAAAUGCCUGCCUUAAGGUGACUCUCGUGAUAGUGACAAAUUGCCUUCCCAUUAAUCACAGACACAGAAACGUAAUAAUAAUAAUAAUAAUAAUAAUAAUAAUAAUAAUAAUAAUAACAACAAUAUCUGAGCCUUAGCUUUGCAGCAAAAAGCUUAGCAGUUCAAGCUCACAAGGAGAGAGGUGUUUAUUUUUUUCAAUCCAGAAAGACUGUAAAUUGCAAGAGUAUGCUCAUGCUUAAAUAUCAUCAUCCAUACUCCACCCACUCCAUCCCAACUGUCUAUUAAAAUGGGCAGUCUGUGACCCUCUGGGUGCUGCAGGACAGCAACUUCUUUCACUCCAGUUGGUAGGAACAGAAGUACAGUAGAGUCUCACUUAUCCAACAUAAAUGGGCCAACAGAAUGUUGGAUAAGCGAAUAUGUUGGAUAACGAGGGAUUAAGGAAAAGCCUAUUAAACAUCAAGUUAGAUUAUGAUUUUACAAAUGAAGCACCAAAACAUCAUGUUAGACAACAAAUUUGACAGAAAAGGUAGUUCAAUAUACAGUAAUGCUGUAAUUACUGUAUUUACAAAUUUAGCACCAAAAUAUCAUGAUGUAUUGAAAACAUCAACUACAAAAAUGCAUUGGAUAAUCCAGAACGUUGGAUAAGUGAACGUUGGAUAAGUGAGACUCUACUGUAUAAUCAUUCUCUAGAUCAGGCAUGAGCAAACUUCAGCCCUCUAGGUGUUUUGGACUUCAGAAAUCUCAGCCAGAUGACCAACUAUUUGGAAUUGUGGAAGUUGAAGUCCAAAACACCUGGAGAGCUGAAGUUUGCCCAUGUCCGAUUUAGAGAUAAGUACAUUAUUUGCCAUUAAUUUAAAGGACAGCAUUCCAUAACUAACUCCUAGCCACUGAGGAAGUUGCUUUGACAGUGCUGUAAGUAUUGUUUCUUCAAAAUAGUUAUACAGUGUUCCCUCACUUAUCGCGGGGGUUAGGUUCCAGGACCACCCGCAAUAAGUGAAAAUCUGUGAAGUAAGGACGCUAUAUAUUUAUACAUUAUUUUAGCAGAUAUACACUAUUUUAAGUCUUUAUCAACCAAUUGUGUUUUGAUAAAUCACCUCCUUCUCUUCCCGUUGCCACUUGGGCUCCUUUUCUCAUCUUUUGGAUUCUCCUUCCUCCCUUCCUUAGGCUGUAAAUUGAAUUUUUUAAUGAUUUAUCUCUUAGAGUUUAUUGAAAAACUGCGAAACAGCGAAUCCGCAAAAAGUAAAUUGUGAAGUAGUGAGGGAACACUAUAUAGUUUUUGUAAAAAACCAAAUUGGACUGUGCACCCCAUGUUUCUGUGUCAAGGUGCCCAUGGAACCUGUUUCAGACCUUAUUAUGUGGAACCAAAGGGUUUUUAUUUUGUGUCAAAAGCAUUGCAUAAAUAAGUAUAAAACUGAUUAAGAUGGAGGGAACACAAACGGCUAAAUAAUUUUUGACAAAAAACAGGCAACAACAAUUGCAUUGUCUGCAGCUUUCAACAAUUCUUCCUCUGUAUAUGAGGCAGGUCAUUGUGGGCAAGCAUACAGGUGCUGAGUUGUUUGUUCUGCUCCACCGUCGCACAAGGAGGAUUUUUCUAGGCAGUGCCAUUUUGCCAGGUUGUCUUUUGAUCUGCCCACUCUGCUUCUGAGUCUGUUCAGGAUCUUGCCCAUUCUUGGUUUGCCCCUGAAGGAAGACCCUCGUGGGGGGGGGGGGGAUCCAAUUGGGAUUUCCUGGUUUAGCUGCCCAGAGGGAUACUCUCUUGCUGUUGCUGGGGGAAGAUGGGAUGUUGUUUUCCACCACACUUGAGUCUGCAGACUAGUUUAAGGGACCCAGAGCAUUAUUCUCAUAGAGAUUUCAGGAGUAACACAUAGAAAACAAUAACUACUGCCCCUCAAGUAACUACUGUUUGUUGCAGUCUUUUCCAUCUGAAAAAUGGUAGCACUGGUCCUAUGUGAAACAUUCCUUCCCCUACAUAGUAAACUAAUGGCUGACUUUUCAUGGUUUAAAAUAAUUGUUUUAAUGUGAAGAUAACUGAUUUUAGUGUUUAUGCAUAUUUAUAGUUUAUUUUAUGUUCCGGCAUCGAAUGUUUGCCGUAUAUAUGUUGUGCUCUGCCCUGAGUCCCCUUCAGGGUGGGAAGGGCAGAAUAUAAAUCUUUUAAAUAAAUAACUGGAGCAACUACCUUUCACAGUUGGCAACUGGGUUUCACAAUUGUGGAAUCAGCCAGCAGGCAAGGACACUUCUGUUUAAACAGACCUUUAAACCCAUGUAGCCAGAGGGUCUUUUAAUUAGCUGAGUUGUGUUUUUAUCCCUUCCAUUAAAUGUAUGCUUUAAACUAUGCUUUUAAUAAAAUUGUAUUUUUGCCUUUUUUUAUAUAUACAAUAAAAUUUUAGUUGUGUCUUUGUUUAAA